rnacentral:rRNA from 1 species
GACGAACGCUGGCGGUGUGCUUAACACAUGCAAGUCGAACGGAAAGGCCCUGCUUUUGUGGGGUGCUCGAGUGGCGAACGGGUGAGUAACACGUGAGUAACCUGCCCUUGACUUUGGGAUAACUUCAGGAAACUGGGGCUAAUACCGGAUAGGAGCUCCUGCUGCAUGGUGGGGGUUGGAAAGUUUCGGCGGUUGGGGAUGGACUCGCGGCUUAUCAGCUUGUUGGUGGGGUAGUGGCUUACCAAGGCUUUGACGGGUAGCCGGCCUGAGAGGGUGACCGGCCACAUUGGGACUGAGAUACGGCCCAGACUCCUACGGGAGGCAGCAGUGGGGAAUAUUGCACAAUGGGCGGAAGCCUGAUGCAGCAACGCCGCGUGCGGGAUGACGGCCUUCGGGUUGUAAACCGCUUUCGCCUGUGGCGAAGCGUGAGUGACGGUAAUGGGUAAAGAAGCACCGGCUAACUACGUG